rnacentral:rRNA from 1 species
CAGCCGCCGCGGUAAUACGUAGGUGGCAAGCGUUGUCCGGAAUUAUUGGGCGUAAAGGGCUCGCAGGCGGUUUCUUAAGUCUGAUGUGAAAGCCCCCGGCUCAACCGGGGAGGGUCAUUGGAAACUGGGAAACUUGAGUGCAGAAGAGGAGAGUGGAAUUCCACGUGUAGCGGUGAAAUGCGUAGAGAUGUGAAGGAACACCAGUGGCGAAGGCGACUCUCUGGUCUGUAACUGACGCUGAGGAGCGAAAGCGUGGGGAGCAAACAGGAUUAGAUACCCGCGUAGUCCCUGUCUCUUAUAC